UGAAGAGGUCUACCAAGCACUGUUC
rnacentral:piRNA from 1 species